rnacentral:rRNA from 1 species
GUGCGAGACCGAUAGCGAACAAAAGCCAGAUACGACUCUGCCGGCAUUUUCGGUAAUCGCACCACAGAUGAUCGCCGUCCCGAAGGGCAGCACGAUCAAUAAGAAUGUUUCCAGAGCCGUGCGCAUAUCGCCACACCAUUGAACGAACUCCUGACUAUAACCGCGGUCGCGCAGGUUGCCCAUGGGGAUCGGAGGCAGCAACGGUCCUUGGUUGGCUGGCGUAUGGCUAAAUCGGACAAACAACGCCUAGCAUCGACACACACGUUGAUACGUUAUGAGAUUUUUAUUUUGUAACUUUUUUGAGUUCAGGCAUCAUUAUCGUAGGUAGCGUAACCAGUGGGGGCCCUCAUGAACUUGAAGUUGUUUGUUGCUGUUCGGGACUUUGA